AAAGAUUUAGUUAAAAUUAUAAUAUAAAUUUGUCAAACUUAAGUUAUUUUCUACAAAUAAUCUUUA
rnacentral:tRNA from 1 species